rnacentral:rRNA from 1 species
UACGAAGGGGGCUAGCGUUGCUCGGAUUGACUGGGCGUAAAGGGCGCGUAGGCGGUUUGCAUAGUCAGACGUGAAAUUCCUGGGCCUAACCUGGGGGCUGCGUUUGAUACAUGCAGGCUUGAGUUCGGAAGAGGGUCGUGGAAUUCCCAGUGUAGAGGUGAAAUUCGUAGAUAUUGGGGAAGAACACCGGUGGCGAAGGCGGCGACCUGGUCCGAUACUGACGCUGAGGCGCGAAAGCGUGGGGAGCAAACAGG